rnacentral:lncRNA from 1 species
UGUUGGCUGGGUUGCAAGGAGUUGGAAAGACAACUGUCAGCGCAAAACUAGCUUUAUAUCUGAAAAAGCUGGUGAUCAUCUUGAAUCCAUAUUUCUUUCAGCAGACAUCCUCCCGGUCUAAUUUUUAACAGUCUAAAUUAUGAUUGACCUGACAUUGCUUGAGCUAUAAUAAUAUGAUCAACAGGGAAAGAGUUGCAUGCUAAUUGCUGGGGAUGUCUAUAGACNUGUGAAACUGGUUUCACGGUGAAAUCAAUUUUUCGAAUGACAAUAAUUCAAAAUACAAAUGAUAUUUUAACAUUUUCAAUUACACUAAUUUAACAUACAAAUUACACUUUAAAAUAUUAAAGUGUCAUUUGUAUAUUGAAGUAGCGUCAUUGCGAAACCGAUUUCACACGAGUUUCUGUGCUAUAUCUAUAUACGAAAAUACAAUGUUUUCACCAAAAUUUUCCAGCCAAUAGCAUCAACUGAGGAUAAUAAUUUUUGUGUUUGUAUCUUUUUUUUUGUAAUUGGGGAUGACAAGAUUUACUUUUACAAAUAAAGAAAUACUACAUAGUUACUCAAAUUAAGUAAAUCAUUAUUGAUUAGUUAAUUUAAUGUAAUUCUUUUAAAUAUCAUAUUUAGUUCACUUUAUAUAAUUUAGUAUCUUUUAAUAUUACUCUAUGUAUUAAUGAUUAGAUCAUGAAUUAAUUUUAUCGAUAUAAAAAAACUUAUAUUAAUUCAUAUUGUGCAUUCAAUAUGUACAAAUAAACAAUACAAAUUAUUUAAACGAAUAGUUCAUUCCCAAUUAGAUUCACAAGCUCAUAUGAGAGUUAGUUCUACACGUCUACUACUCUAACGAUGAUAGAGUAUUUAUCAAACUUAAUCUUAAUGAACAAGAUGUUUGAGUAUUUGAUAUUUUCCUUCAACCAAUUUUCAAAUAAAUAAUAUUGCGUAGUCGAAGGGAAUUAUUCAAAGAAAAAUUUCUUAUAAAUCGCUCUAGCUUACAUAAAAAAAUAUUUUUAGUUUUGUUCAUUGUUGAGAGGUCGUCUAUAACUUUACGAACUUUCGGAAAUCUAAAUAAUGAUUGAAGAUGUAACGGCUUAUUGGAUAAUACAUCUAACCUCCAUUAUAAUAUAAGAUCUCAACAGAUAAAAUAGCGGAUAACAGAAUCUCUCUCUCUCUCUCUGUUUGCAGGUGCUAUCAUGGAGGCCUCUGCCCAAUUCUCGGGCGUUGCUUCCCGCCAUUUCCCGGCUUCCUCCUCACUCCAAAUCCCGAAAUUGCCACUCCGCAGCUCCCUAUUCCCCAGGAGGUCCUCUUCGUCGACCUGCUCCGCUCAAUCACUCUCCUUCUCCGCCGGCAAUUCCUUCGCGGUGGGUUCUGCUCUCGCUAGCUUCCUCGCCUCUCGUAAUUGUGUUUCGAUUGGUUUUAUUUAUUUUCGUUGAUGUAGAGAGAGGUGUGGGGAGUGAUAAACUCCAGGAGCAGCGCCAGCCAGAGAAGGGAAAUGCGAGGCGUUGUGAGAGCGGAGAUGUUUGGGCAGCUCACGAGCGGCCUCGAAUCCGCUUGGAACAAGCUCAAGGGAGAAGGUUUUUCGCUUAUUUCGUGUUUUCCUGACUUGAUCGUGCUGGUUUUACUUUUUCAAGUGGAGCGCUUGAGUAUUCAUCAGCUAAUCAUCUAUAGACAUUGCGGAAUUCGUUGUUUAUCUUCGUACUGAUUCUAGUUUAGAUGAUCAACAAAAUAAAUUGAAAUAUUAAAUCCAUCAUGCACCCGGAUCCAUAACUUGUUUAUCGCUUGAGAUUUGCAAUUUGCAUCAACUCCUUUCUUAACACAUCUUUAGUGGUUUUUAACUAGUCUUUCUAUGUUGAUGAGUUGCAUAAGUAUACGGACCACGAGUUAUGUGUUUAUACGCACACACAUAUAGUGACUGGUUUUGUGCUUUCCCAACUCUCAAUAUGAAACUAUAUGCAGGGAUUUGUCAUACUUAAUUAAUUUUGUUUCUGACUUUGUUGCUCUACAGAGGUCUUGACCAAGGAAAACAUUGUGGAGCCUAUGAGAGACAUUAGGAGAGCUCUUCUGGAAGCAGAUGUAAACCUUUUUCUUGUUUGAUAAUUACACUAUGAUUUCCAAUCUGUGUCCCACAUACGUUUAUUCAUUGUUGGCAGGUCAGCCUUCCUGUUGUUAGAAGAUUUGUUCAGGCUGUUAGUGACCAAGCUGUUGGUACUGGAUUGAUCCGAGGAGUAAAACCAGAUCAGCAAUUAGUGAAGGUAUGCAUUAGUUACUGCCAUAGUUGGUGUCUACCAGACAACAGGGCUCUUGAGCAAUAUUGAGCUGUCAUUUCUAUUUCUGCCUUUCAAGUGCAUUUAUACCAUCUAUGUCUUGGAAGGUUUGUACCCACCAUAUUAUAGGUUUAGUUAAGAACUUUCAUAUAUGUAAAGGCCUUGAUUUGGUUCAAUUUAUAUAUUUAUGUGCUGUUUGGGAAGUAACUCUUUUGGUUAAACAGACCGACUUCCAUCAUGUGAUAUCAAAGUCGAACUGAUUAUUAUUGAUGGUAAAAAAAUUAUAAUGAUCUUUUAAGUAUUGUGCUUGGAUUUUUGCACUUCUGUAAUAUGCGAAAUGCAUUAUCUAGUAAUCACUAGUCAGUUAUAUAAAACAUUAUGUUUGCCAAUGAGGAAUUAGUUUACAGAAGCUGGUAAAAGUAGCUCCCAUAGAUGACCUUCAUCUGAAAUGAUUAUUAUCUUUCUUUAACCUAUGCAGAUAGUUAGUGAUGAGCUAGUAAAACUAAUGGGAGGAGAAGUUUCUGAGCUGGUUUUUUCAAAAACUAAACCGACUGUCAUAUUGUUGGCUGGGUUGCAAGGAGUUGGAAAGACAACUGUCAGCGCAAAACUAGCUUUAUAUCUGAAAAAGCUGGUGAUCAUCUUGAAUCCAUAUUUCUUUCAGCAGACAUCCUCCCGGUCUAAUUUUUAACAGUCUAAAUUAUGAUUGACCUGACAUUGCUUGAGCUAUAAUAAUAUGAUCAACAGGGGAAGAGUUGCAUGCUAAUUGCUGGGGAUGUCUAUAGACCUGCUGCUAUUGACCAGCUGGUUAUUCUGGGCGAACAG